rnacentral:rRNA from 1 species
GAUGAACGCUGGCGGCGUGCCUAAUACAUGCAAGUCGAGCGAACAGACGAGGAGCUUGCUCCUCUGACGUUAGCGGCGGACGGGUGAGUAACACGUGGAUAACCUACCUAUAAGACUGGGAUAACUUCGGGAAACCGGAGCUAAUACCGGAUAAUAUAUUGAACCGCAUGGUUCAAUAGUGAAAGACGGUUUUGCUGUCACUUAUAGAUGGAUCCGCGCCGCAUUAGCUAGUUGGUAAGGUAACGGCUUACCAAGGCAACGAUGCGUAGCCGACCUGAGAGGGUGGUCGGCCACACUGGAACUGAGACACGGUCCAGACUCCUACGGGAGGCAGCAGUAGGGAAUCUUCCGCGAUGGGCGAAAGCCUGACGGAGCAACGCCGCGUGAGUGAUGAAGGUCUUCGGAUCGUAAAACUCUGUUAUUAGGGAAGAACAAAUGUGUAAGUAACUAUGCACGUCUUGACGGUACCUAAUCAGAAAGCCACGGCUAACUACGUG